rnacentral:rRNA from 1 species
GAUGAACGCUGGCGGCGUGCCUAAUACAUGCAAGUCGAGCGAACAGACGAGGAGCUUGCUCCUCUGACGUUAGCGGCGGACGGGUGAGUAAAACGUGGAUAACCUACCUAUAAGACUGGGAUAACUUCGGGAAACCGGAGCUAAUACCGGAUAAUAUAUUGAACCGCAUGGUUCAAUAGUGAAAGACGGUUUUGCUGUCACUUAUAGAUGGAUCCGCGCCGCAUUAGCUAGUUGGUAAGGUAACGGCUUACCAAGGCAACGAUGCGUAGCCGACCUGAGAGGGUGAUCGGCCACACUGGAACUGAGACACGGUCCAGACUCCUACGGGAGGCAGCAGUAGGGAAUCUUCCGCAAUGGGCGAAAGCUUGACGGAGCAACGCCGCGUGAGUGAUGAAGGUAUUCGGAUCGUAAAACUCUGUUAUUAGGGAAGAACAAAUGUGUAAGUAACUAUGCACGUCUUGACGGUACCUAAUCAGAAAGCCACGGCUAACUACGUG